rnacentral:rRNA from 1 species
AUUGAACGCUGGCGGCAGGCCUAACACAUGCAAGUCGAGCGGAUGAAGGGAGCUUGCGCCUGGAUUCAGCGGCGGACGGGUGAGUAAUGCGUAGGAAUCUGCCUGGUAGUGGGGGAUAACGUCCGGAAACGGGCGCUAAUACCGCAUACGUCCUGAGGGAGAAAGUGGGGGAUCUUCGGACCUCACGCUAUCAGAUGAGCCUAGGUCGGAUUAGCUAGUUGGUGGGGUAAAGGCCUACCAAGGCGACGAUCCGUAACUGGUCUGAGAGGAUGAUCAGUCACACUGGAACUGAGACACGGUCCAGACUCCUACGGGAGGCAGCAGUGGGGAAUAUUGGACAAUGGGCGAAAGCCUGAUACAGCCAUGCCGCGUGUGUGAAGAAGGUCUUCGGAUUGUAAAGCACUUUAAGUUGGGAGGAAGGGCAGUAAGUUAAUACCUUGCUGUUUUGACGUUACCAACAGAAUAAGCACCGGCUAACUUCGUG